rnacentral:rRNA from 1 species
UAGUCCACGCCGUAAACGAUGUCUACUAGCCGUUGGGAGGCUUGACCUCUUAGUGGCGCAGCUAACGCGAUAAGUAGACCGCCUGGGGAGUACGGUCGCAAGAUUAAAACUCAAAUGAAUUGACGGGGGCCCGCACAAGCGGUGGAGCAUGUGGUUUAAUUCGAUGCAACGCGAAAAACCUUACCAGGCCUUGACAUCCAGAGAAGUCGCUAGAGAUAGCUUCGUGCCUUCGGGAACUCUGUGACAGGUGUUGCAUGGCUGUCGUCAGCUCGUGUCGUGAGAUGUUGGGUUAAGUCCCGUAACGAGCGCAACCCUUAUCCUUAUUUGCCAGCACGUAAUGGUGGGAACUCUAAGGAGACUGCCGGUGACAAACCGGAGGAAGGAGAGGAUGAUGUCAAGUCAUCAUGGCCCUUACGGCCUGGGCUACACACGUGCUACAAUGGAAAGUACAGAGGGCCGCGAUACCGCGAGGUGGAGCAAAUCCCAAAAACUUUCGUAGUCCGGAUCGGAGU